rnacentral:rRNA from 1 species
AGGGAAUCUUCGGCAAUGGGGGCAACCCUGACCGAGCAACGCCGCGUGAGUGAAGAAGGUUUUCGGAUCGUAAAGCUCUGUUGUAAGUCAAGAACGGGUGUGAGAGUGGAAAGUUCACACUGUGACGGUAGCUUACCAGAAAGGGACGGCUAACUACGUGCCAGCAGCCGCGGUAAUACGUAGGUCCCGAGCGUUGUCCGGAUUUAUUGGGCGUAAAGCGAGCGCAGGCGGUUUGAUAAGUCUGAAGUUAAAGGCUGUGGCUCAACCAUAGUUCGCUUUGGAAACUGUCAAACUUGAGUGCAGAAGGGGAGAGUGGAAUUCCAUGUGUAGCGGUGAAAUGCGUAGAUAUAUGGAGGAACACCGGUGGCGAAAGCGGCUCUCUGGUCUGUAACUGACGCUGAGGCUCGAAAGCGUGGGGAGCGAACAGGAUUAGAUACCCUGGUAGUCCACGCCGUAAACGAUGAGUGCUAGGUGUUGGAUCCUUUCCGGGAUUCAGUGCCGCAGCUAACGCAUUAAG